rnacentral:rRNA from 1 species
AUUGAACGCUGGCGGCAGGCCUAACACAUGCAAGUCCAGCGGAUGAAGGGAGCUUGCUCCUGGAUUCAGCGGCGGACGGGUGAGUAAUGCCUAGGAAUCUGCCUGGUAGUGGGGGAUAACGUCCGGAAACGGGCGCUAAUACCGCAUACGUCCUGAGGGAGAAAGUGGGGGAUCUUCGGACCUCACGCUAUCAGAUGAGCCUAGGUCGGAUUAGCUAGUUGGUGGGGUAAAGGCCUACCAAGGCGACGAUCCGUAACUGGUCUGAGAGGAUGAUCAGUCACACUGGAACUGAGACACGGUCCAGACUCCUACGGGAGGCAGCAGUGGGGAAUAUUGGACAAUGGGCGAAAGCCUGAUCCAGCCAUGCCGCGUGUGUGAAGAAGGUCCUCGGAUUGUAAAGCACUUUAAGUUGGGAGGAAGGGCAGUAAGUUAAUACCUUGCUGUUUUGACGUUACCAACAGAAUAAGCACCGGCUAACUUCGUGC